AAUUGUCUUGUAAUUGGAAUGAUGGUUACCUAAACUCUCACCAGAGUAACAAUUGGAGGGCAAGUCUGGUGCCAGCAGCCGCGGUAAUUCCAGCUCCAAUAGCGUAUAUUAAACUUGUUGCAGUUAAAAAGCUCGUAGUUGAAUUUCUGCGUUAUCGAGUUAUUGACUCUUGUCUUUAAUCGAUUUCGCUUUUGGGAUUUAUCCCUUUUUACUUUGAGAAAAUUAGAGUGUUUCAAGCAGACUUUUGUCUUGAAUACUUCAGCAUGGAAUAAUAGAGUAGGACUUUGGUUCUAUUUUGUUGGUUUUUGAACCUUAGUAAUGGUUAAUAGGAACGGUUGGGGGCAUUCGUAUUUAACUGUCAGAGGUGAAAUUCUUAGAUUUGUUAAAGACGAACUACUGCGAAAGCAUUUGCCAAGGACGUUUCCAUUAAUCAAGAACGAAAGUUAGGGGAUCGAAGACGAUCAGAUACCGUCGUAGUCCUAACCAUAAACUAUGCCGACUAGGGAUUGGAGGUCGUCAUUUUUCCGACUCCUUCAGCACCUUGAGAGAAAUCAAAGUCUUUGGA
rnacentral:rRNA from 1 species